GGCGGCCGCGAUCUACUAGUGAUUUCUGUUUGAUCCUGGCGGAGGCUACUGCUAUUGGGAUUCGAUUAUUCCCUGCAAGUUGAAUGAAUUUAGAUUCAUGGCGUACGGCUCAGUAACACGUGGAUAACUUACCCUUAGGACUGGGAUAACUCUGGGAAACUGGGGAUAAUACCGGAUAUUAGGCUAUGUCUGCAAUGGUUUGCCUUUGAAAUGUUUUUUUUCGCCUAAGGAUAGAUCUGCGGCUGAUUAGGUCGUUGGUGGGGUAAUGGCCCACCAAGCCGAUGAUCGGUACGGGUUGUGAGAGCAAGGGCCCGGAGAUGGAACCUGAGACAAGGUUCCAGACCCUACGGGGUGCAGCAGGCGCGAAACCUCCGCAAUGUACGAAAGUGCGACGGGGGGAUCCCAAGUGUUAUGCUUAAAGGUAUGACUUUUCAUUAGUGUAAAAAGCUUUUAGAAUAAGAGCUGGGCAAGACCGGUGCCAGCCGCCGCGGUAACACCGGCAGCUCGAGUGGUAGCUGUUUUUAUAUUGGGCCUAAAGCGUUCGUAGCCGGUUUAAUAAGUCUUUGGUGAAAGCUUGUAGCUAACCUUUAGAAAUUGCUGGAGAUACUAUUAACCUUAAGUCGGGAGAGGUUAGAGUACUACCGGGGUAGGGGUGAAUCCUAUAUCCUGUGAG
rnacentral:rRNA from 1 species